rnacentral:rRNA from 1 species
AUACGUAGGGUGCAAGCGUUAAUCGGAAUUACUGGGCGUAAAGCGCACGCAGGCGGUCAAUUAAGUCAGAUGUGAAAGCCCCGAGCUUAACUUGGGCAUUGCAUCUGCAACUGGUUGGAUAGAGUCUUGUAGAGUGGGUAGAAUUCCACGUGUAGCGGUGAAAUGCGUAGAGAUGUGGAGGAAUACCGGUGGCGAAGGCGGCCCCCUGGACAAAGACUGACGCUCAGGUGCGAAAGCGUGGGGAGCAAACAGGAUUAGAUACCCUGGUAGUCCACGCUGUAAACGGUGUCGAUUUAGAGGUUGUGGUCUUGAACCGUGGCUUCUGGAGCUAACGCGUUAAAUCGACCGCCUGGGGAGUACGGCCGCAAGGUUAAAACUCAAAUGAAUUGACGGGG